ensembl:snRNA U6 U6 spliceosomal RNA
GUGCUCCCUUUGGCAGCACAUAUACUAAAAUUGGAACCAUACAGAGAGGAUUAGCAUGGCCCCUGUGCAAGGAUGAAUAUUAUGAAAAAUUAUAUGCCAACAAAUUGG